rnacentral:rRNA from 1 species
UACGUAGGGUGCGAGCGUUGUCCGGAAUUAUUGGGCGUAAAGAGCUUGUAGGCGGUCUGUCGCGUCUGCUGUGAAAAUCCGGGGCUCAACCCCGGACUUGCAGUGGGUACGGGCAGACUAGAGUGUGGUAGGGGAGACUGGAAUUCCUGGUGUAGCGGUGAAAUGCGCAGAUAUCAGGAGGAACACCGGUGGCGAAGGCGGAUCUCUGGGCCUUACCUGACGCUCAGGUGCGAAAGCUAGGGGAGCGAACAGG